rnacentral:rRNA from 1 species
UACAGAGAGUGCAAACGUUGUUCGGAAUUACUGGGCUUAAAGCGCACGUAGGCGGUGUCGUAAGUGUCAGGUGAAAUCCCACGGCUCACCCGUGGAACUGCCUGGCAUACUGCGAUACUCGAGUGUGGUAGGGGAGAGCGGAACUCCUGGUGGAGCGGUGAAAUGCGUAGAUAUCAGGAGGAACACCGGUGGCGAAGGCGGGUCUCUGGGCCGUAACUGACGCUGAGGAGCGAAAGCAUGGGGAGCGAACAGG